rnacentral:rRNA from 1 species
UAAAGAUUCAUCGGCUGCGGAUGGCCAUGCGGCGCAUUAGCUAGUCGGCGGGGUAACGGCCCACCGAGGCGACGAUGCGUAGGGGUUCUGAGAGGAAGGUCCCCCACACUGGUACUGAGACGCGGACCAGACUCCUACGGGAGGCAGCAGUGAGGAAUAUUGGUCAAUGGCCGGGAGGCUGAACCAGCCAAGUCGCGUGAGGGAAGACGGCCCUACGGGUUGUAAACCUCUUUUGUCAGGGAGCAAGAGGCGGGUCGAGACCUGCUGUGAGAGUACCUGAAGAAAAAGCAUCGGCUAACUCCGUGCCAGCAGCCGCGGUAAUACGGAGGAUGCGAGCGUUAUCCGGAUUUAUUGGGUUUAAAGGGUGCGCAGGCGGAGGCACAAGUCAGCGGUAAAAUCGCGGGGCUCAACCCCGCUCCGCCGUUGAAACUGUGUCCCUUGAGUGCGCGAAGGGUAGGCGGAAUGCGUGGUGUAGCGGUGAAAUGCAUAGAUAUCACGCAGAACUCCGAUCGCGAAGGCAGCCUACCGGCGCGCAACUGACGCUCAUGCACGAAAGCGUGGGUAUCGAACAGGAUUAGAUACCCUGGUAGUCCACGCAGUAAACGAUGAAUGCUAUCUGUCCGGCCGGAAUGACGGCUGG